rnacentral:lncRNA from 1 species
UCUUUGUGCAUGGAAAGUUUACAUGAGAAACUCUUUCUCAUGUAGAAUAAGUGGCGCACAAGAUAAGGUGUGGCGCAUGGAGUUGGUUGCCCAUUCAAAUUCAAACAUCCUUUGAAUUUGAAUGGCCAACUAACCUAUCUUUAUCCAGAUAAAUGGUGCACAAGGGAGCGCGUGGGAAGGCUUCUACGUGGGAGAAAAUUCAUGAGAAGUUGUUUCUCGUGAAUUCAAAUGGGCGCAGAUA